rnacentral:tRNA from 1 species
GGAGGGGUGGCCGAGUGGUCGAAGGCGGACGACUCGAAAUCGUUUUGACGGUGAUGAGCCGUCACGUGGGUUCAAAUCCCACCCUCUCCGCCA